UACGGAGGGGGCUAGCGUUGUUCGGAAUUACUGGGCGUAAAGCGUGCGUAGACGGUUAUUUAAGUCAGGUGUGAAAGCCCAGGGCUCAACCUUGGAAUUGCAUUUGAGACUGAAUAGCUAGGGUGCGGAAGAGGGAAGCGGAAUUUCCGGUGUAGCGGUGAAAUGCGUAGAUAUCGGAAGGAACACCAGUGGCGAAAGCGGCUUCCUGGUCCAGCACCGACGUUCAGGCACGAAAGCGUGGGGAGCAAACAGG
rnacentral:rRNA from 1 species